CACAGAGGGGGCAAGCGUUGUUCGGAAUUACUGGGCGUAAAGGGCGCGUAGGCGGCCUGUUAAGUCGAACGUGAAAUCCCCGGGCUCAACCCGGGAACUGCGUCCGAUACUGGCAGGCUUGAAUCCGGGAGAGGGAUGCGGAAUUCCAGGCGUAGCGGUGAAAUGCGUAGGUAUCUGGAGGAACACCGGUGGCGAAGGCGGCAUCCUGGACCGGCAUUGACGCUGAGGCGCGAAAGCCAGGGGAGCAAACGGG
rnacentral:rRNA from 1 species